UGGACGCCCAAGAAAUUUGAUAAGAACGUAAAAAUACAAUGUUAUUAUUCUGUUGAACAGACGAUAUUUACGUGGCUAUUUUAUUUAAGUGUUUUAUUGUAAUAAUGCAUUGAGUCCGUUAACAUUAAGUACAUCAAAAAUCUGGGGAAAAUGGGUUUAAAAAAUGUAACUCGGUGUUUACUAUUGAUGAUAUUGUGCUGGAAAGCCUUUGGUGAGUCAGAUACAGAUGAUGACAAGACAACUAAGAAAGACAGCAGCAGUAGCGAAGAGAAAACCGAAAAACCUUGCUGUGUACCACCACCCGUGUACGCAUACCCGCUCAUUUAUCCUUUGUACUAUUAUUACUAUCCAGUUUAUGUUUUUGGUUGACAAUAAAGGACCUUUUUUAAGUUA